UAUCCUAAUGGCUACUGCAAU
rnacentral:piRNA from 1 species